UUGACCUCAAAUCAGGUAGGACUACCCGCUGAACUUAAGCAUAUCAAUAAGCGGAGGAAAAGAAACUAACAAGGAUUCCCCUAGUAACUGCGAGUGAAGCGGGAAGAGCUCAAAUUUGAAAUCUGGCGGUUCUUGACCGUCCGAGUUGUAAUCUAGAGAAGUGCUACCUGUGCUGGACCGUGUACAAGUCUCCUGGAAUGGAAGCAUCACAGAGGGUGAGAAUCCCGUCUUUGACACGGACUGCCUGCACGUUGUGGUGUGCUCUCGAAGAGUCGAGUUGUUUGGGAAUGCAGCUCAAAAUGGGUGGUAAAUGCCAUCUAAAGCUAAAUAUUGGCGAGAGACCGAUAGCGAACAAGUACCGUGAGGGAAAGAUGAAAAGAACUUUGGAAAGAGAGUUAAACAGUACGUGAAAUUGCUGAAAGGGAAACGCUUGAAGUCAGUCGCGUCGGCCAGAAAUCAGCCUUGCUUUUGCUUGGUGUACUUUCUUGUUGAUGGGUCAGCAUCAAUUUCGACCGUCGGAUAAAGUCGUUCAGGAAUGUGGCAUCUUCGGAUGUGUUAUAGCCUGGCGUCGCAUACGGUGGUUGGGAUUGAGGAACUCAGCACGCCGCAAGGCCGGGUCUUCUUUGACCACGUCCGUGCUUAGGAUGCUGGCAUAAUGGCUUUAAUCGACCCGU
rnacentral:rRNA from 1 species